CCAAAAAAUGGCAUAAAAUAUAUGUCUUCUUUAUCAGGAAAAUAAUAUGUUUACUGAUUUAAUGUGACUUGAAGCAUCAGAGCAUUUCAAAUGGUCAGGAGCUGGCUUUUUUUGCAGUCUGCCUGCACAUUACGUUUCUUUUCCUCUCGUCCUUUUUCUGUUCUCUUCAAUGUCACUUGCAAAAUGCUGAUCAUUUGGUUUGGGUUACUCUUAUUUCUGACUCUAUAAGAAGGAAAAAGUGCAUAUGGGCCAUGUGGAUAUAAGGAAAAACACACAUCCAUCACAUCUGUUUUAAAGCAGCAUAAUUAAAUACAAACAUUAUGCCCUUUAAUUCCCCUGCAAUAAGGGAGUUUCCUAGUGGAACAGAGCACCUAAAAGUUUGACUAAGUGCCUCAUUGUGCACCAAGCAAUGUGCAUUGGACCCUCAUCUUCAUUCAGAAGAGCCAGGUGAUAAAGCUAGUCUGCUAGUUAAAAGGAUCCCUCUAAGGGAAACCUGGGAUGAAGUUUUGCAAAGUGAAGGCAGGCGUUAGCUCUGACGUGCGGAAUCAAACUUCACAACCUCAGGGAUGAAGGCUCAAAGUCUUUGUGGGAAACUGUUAUUUUCUUCCCCACGUAAGUCUAAACAAAAUGCCUUUUAAGCCAGCGAAGGCCUCUCCUGAUUAUCCCCAGCUAACGGACUAAAACAGACUUGCUUCUCAAGGACAACUGAACCCAAAACAACAGAUGUGAUCCGGGACAGAAAGGACGGGCGACAAGCCAUCCUGUGCCCCUGGCAGUCACCGCCUUAAAGUGGGGCUCAUGGACGCUCAUUGGCUCUGGACAGUGACACUGACUGGACCGGUGGGUCCCGGGGAUAUUAAAGGUGGCGAGGGCAGCAGGUGGGCCCUUCCAUCCCUCCUCCCUGAGGCCCGUUCGGACGCUUUCUGCAUGGGACACCCCCCUGCUGCGGACACUGCUGCUGGGACCCUGCCUGCCUGCCUGCCCCGGGUCCAGCCUGAGCCUCAGCGCCGAGCGUGCCGGGGUCCCGAGCCCUGGGGUCGGGGCCGGAGCCCCCUCCCCGUGUUGCUGCCGGUUGAGGGGAAACCAACAGCUGCUGCACCCGCUGCCGAGCCGCAAGAGGCUGAGCCGCCAGAGGGUAACAUCACCUCACACACACACACACACACACUCCUUUCCUCAUACUCGCGCACACAGCUCGCAGACACAGCUCGACCUCUUAAGGAGGACUGUCAUUGGGUUUCAUUCCCUCCUUCCCUCCUCCCUUUGGUCCUUAAUCUUCUCCCUUAAGAGCAUCUUUGCAUUGCCUCCCUAAAGGACACUUUCUCACUACAUACAUAUUUAUAUCCCUGGUAGCCAUUCACAUUUGCAUUGUCCCUAAACAUCAUCCCUCGGUUUCUGUUAACCCUUAAUAAACCAAUUAUUUUGUGGAGUAAA